CAGGGCCCUGUAGUGAACGCCGGUGUGAGCCGAGAAGACCUGUGCCGACUCGUACACUUCGUGGCAUAUCGGACAUUCGUACCACUCGUCGGGUCCGCUACGGUGCAGGCUGUGUAUCCGCCCAUCAGCUCCCAGAUGAGAGAGAAUUUCCACAUCAAGCGGCUGAAGCCCCUCCUGGACGGCGUCGUUAUCAGCAGGCUCCUCGGGACGUGGUGGAGGUUCUCGGUGAAAGCUGAGUAGUGGAUCAGCCGAGUGAACUGGAUGGCUUGCUGCUGCUGGUUGUGGUGGCUCCGUUGAUGGGUUUGCCGGAUCCAUCGUUUUUCUUGAUGGAAAUGGAGUUGGGAAAUGAGGAGAGGAGAGAAAUUUCAAGGUCGGGUAAAUGUUGACGGGAGUCGGAAUUUUGGUGAAGCACGACUAUUCUCCUUUUCUUCUUUUUUGUUCUGGGAGUUCUGUUAAUAGGAGGUUAGAAUAUAAAGAGAAGUUGGCUGAAGGUUGGGGCAAAAGAGUAAUUUCAAGUUUGCCAAGGAGGAUGAAAAUAGGACCCACAAAAAAUGCCAAAAGAGGAAAUGCCAUUAUGUUUUAAUAAGAUCAAAUCUAAGUGUUUUGAAUGCAUAUGGUAACAGAGUAUCUGAAAGAAACUCGUAGUCAUUAUUGUGCAUAUCCACAAAAAGGAGUAAAAAAAUAAAUGCGUUUCUUAAAAAAACCGAUGGCCAAAAACAAUCUAUUAUGUUUCGAUUUUAUUUUUAACUUAUGAGGGUGCUCCAAUGGAAGAAAAAAUGUGAAUGUAUUUGUGUCAUUUUCCAAAAUUGAUCAUUCCUGUAUUUGUGUCAUUUUCAAAAAUUGAUCACUCCUCUGCUAGUUAGGUUAAUUAAUAUGCCGCUAUUGAUGGAUUUUUCUUACGUACUACAUGAUUAUUCGGGUUUAUGGUCAUAUAUUUUGACUUUCUCUAAUAAUAGCGGAAUAUGUGUAGAUGAUUGUUCGUGUUUUUCAUUUUGUUACACAUGAUAGUUUACUAAUGAAUAUAGUUUUUUUUAAUUCUUUGUAAGAAAAAAAAAAUCUUAAUUUUGUGCGUUUGUACUGUAUUGGUCUUAUAGGAAUCCCACAUCGGAUGUGAUCACAUAAAUAGUUUCACAUGAAGUUUAUAAACGGGAAUUUGUCCCACAUCGAAGAAAGACAACUUGAUAGCUAGCAUUCUUCAUUAUUAAACGAGGUUUGUGAACUCUACAAUUAUUAAAUACACUCUUAACUCUUUGUGUGUAGCCUAACUUGAGUAAACCCACGUAUAUCUUGUGAGUGAGUGUGUGAGAUCUAAGCAUUAUCAUACAAGGUGGAGUUUGGAAAAUGAGGAUGACGAGAGGAAAUCGAAGGUGCGAUGAAGGUUGACGGAAAUGGGAAUUUGGAUUAACGAGACGGUUUUCUUUUUUUCGGUUACAAUUGAAGGGCAAAGGCUGGCAGGAGCUACCGUCGUCAAAUUCCAGGAGCUGAAGUUUGUUAUUUUGAAGCUCCUUAUCGUGCUUCCGAUGGAGUCGUAUUACGUUCGAUGCAGUGCUCAGGGCCCUGUAGUGAAUGCCGGUGUGAGCCGAGAAGACCUGUGCCGACUCGUACACUUUGUGGCAUAUCAGACAUUCGUACCACUCGUCGGGUCUGCUACGGUGCAUGUUGUGUAUCCGCCCAUCAGCUCCCAGAUGAGAGAGAAUUUCCACAUCAAGCGGCUGAAGCCCCUCCUGGACGGCGUCGUUAUCAGCAGGCACCUCUGGACGUGGUGGAGGUUCUCGGUGAAAGCUGAGUAGUGGAUCAGCCGAGUGAACUGGAUGGCUUGCUGCUGCUGGUUGUGGUGGCGCCGUAGAUGGGUUCGCCGGAUCCAUCGUUUUUCUUGACGGAAAUGGAGUUGGGAACUGGGGAUGAGGAGAGGAAUUUCAAGGUCGGAUAAACGUUGACGGGGAUUGGAAUUUUGGUGAAGCGCGACUGCUUUCCUUUUCUUUUCUUUUUUGUCAUGUGAGUUUCUGUUAAUAGGAACUUAGAAAAUAUAGGGAAGUUGGCUAACGGUUGGGGUAAAAUAGUAAUUUCAAGCGUGCCACAGACGAUGGAAAUUGGACCCACAAAAUAUGCCAAAAGAGGAAAUGUCAUUAUGUUUCGAUAAGAUUAAAUCUAAGCGUUUUGAAUUCAUAUGGUAACAGAGCAUUUGAAAAGAGAUUCGUGGUCAUUAUUGUGCAUAUCCAUAAAAAAGAGCA
rnacentral:lncRNA from 1 species